rnacentral:rRNA from 1 species
UACGUAGGGGGCAAGCGUUGUCCGGAAUCAUUGGGCGUAAAGCGCGCGUAGGCGGCCCUGUAAGUCCGUUGUGAAAGUCAAAGGCUCAACCUUUGAAAGCCGAUGGAUACUGCAGGGCUCGAGUUCGGAAGAGGCGAGUGGAAUUCCUGGUGUAGCGGUGAAAUGCGCAGAUAUCAGGAGGAACACCGGUGGCGAAGGCGGGUCUCUGGGCCGAUACUGACGCUGAGGAGCGAAAGCGUGGGGAGCGAACAGG